rnacentral:pre_miRNA from 1 species
UCUUUGGUGAUUUUAGCUGUAUGGUGUAUAAGUAUUCCAUAGAGCUUUAUUACCAAAAACC